rnacentral:misc_RNA from 1 species
UACGUAGGAGGCAAGCGUUGUCCGGAUUUACUGGGCGUAAAGGGCGUGUAGGCGGUUCGGAAAGUCCGUCGUGAAAUCUCCCGGCUCAACUGGGAGGGGUCGGUGGAUACUUCCGGACUCGAGGGCAGUAGAGGAGAGUGGAAUUCCCGGUGUAGUGGUGAAAUGCGUAGAUAUCGGGAGGAACACCAGUGGCGAAAGCGACUCUCUGGGCUGUACCUGACGCUGAGGCGCGAAAGCGUGGGGAGCAAACCGG